AACAUGGGAAUUAGGAAUGAGGAGGACGGACACAUUUGCUUCCUGAGUGAAAAUAAGGACAUGGAUGAGGAGAAGGAUUAUAGUGACUUGAGGAAGGUGAAACAGCCCCGAGGCAUCAGGAGGGGCCCAGAAAAGAGAGAAACAGUCUGAACACGGCCAGCAGACUGAAAUGGCCAUGAAAGGGGAGGAAAAACAAGGGAGAACAAGUGAGGAAGAGAAGAAAGAGAGGAGGAGAGAGGGCAAGUGGGCCAAGAGAGGAGUUGUGGGCCAAUAGGACAAGGCUGAGAACCAAGAGAUCUCUCUGCCUAGAAGCUGGGGAAAGGGAGGCUCAGUUCUUCACUCCUCUGGUCCCCUCCCCCCACCCCAGCUACAUAAGCAUAGGACGGGGUGAGGUUGGAAGUGUUGGGAGGAGCUACAGGUACUGUGUGACCCUUGACACUAGAACACAAUGAUUGACUAGUUACAUUUACUGUUGAACACUUCUCCUGUGGCCUGGGAUAGUUAGUGAUCUGCCCUUGGUUUCUCACUCAUUCCACACAACAGCCUAGGAUAUUGUCUCCAUGGUCACACAGAUGAUGAAAAUGUGUCUUCCCUGCCAAGAAAGUACCGUUCAAAGCACGGUGGGAAAGUGCUGAGCUCAGAAGAGUUAGCCAAGUCUUAAGGACUUCACGAAUUAGUCACCUUACUUCUUUGCUCUUUCAUACUUCCUUAAGCUAAAGGUUUGGUGAGGGCUGCCUUAUUGGCUGGUGCUAUUGGAUGUUGAUCAUAUUACCAACGAGAUGUCUGUCUUAGGAAAUGUCACAGGGAAGCAUUCCGGGGAGAAUCUAAGAUACAGCUGCGGUCUCUGUUAGUAUUGGUGAGAUUGUAGCUUUUCUACAAUGAGACCCUAGGUCCACCUGGGGAAAGUAUUCAUUUGCUUGAUGAGACAACACUUUCAUGCUUUUAGUAAAAGACCCCCCUAGCCCCCAGGACCAAGGCAGUCUUGACAAGGCAUACUUACUGUGUCACUGCCUUGUGGGUCCCCUAGUGACUCACUAGAUCCUUGAGUAGACUACCAAGCAAGUUCAGCAGCACGCUUCCGGCUCUGUCCAGGUCUCCUCACUCAUUUUGUUUGUCACUCUUUCUAAGGCUUCCAGCAAGUGGAGUCCUUUUAGUGGCUGAGUCUGCUCUGCGCCACUCAUAGGAAUUAGAAUAUGAGCAGCACGAGCCUCUCUGCUACCCUCAAAGAUUGAGGUUUGAGGCUGAUUAGGUUAUUUGAGCUGCUGGUAUGCACUGACUCCAAAUGGGAAUCCAAGAGCUCAAAAUGUUUGAGAGGAAAGAGUACACAACACAGAUGUUGUGAAAUUUCUAACUUUUCUUUAGAGUUGUGUUUCCAGGGCCAACUGAAGUAAGACAAGAUCUGUUAGAGAGGGGUCAAUUUUAUAAUAGUAACUGGUGCCCAGAAGGGUGACUGAGACACAGUGUCUGAUACUGUAGAAUAAUUGAAUAGAUAAGCCAGUUGACCAAAUGGAUGGGUUGGUAGAUAAAUGGAUGUGUGGAUAAGAAAGUUGGGCUUUCCAUGUGUUCCUGAAUGUGUAUGGCACAGGAAUGAAUCCCCAAAGCCAGCUCCAAAGAUAACUUUCAAAAUCAUCCUGUGUACCAAGUCCUCUUUUCUCCCUCUGACUAGCUAUCUGCAGAUUCUUCAGGCUAAAACUACAGGGCUGGAGAGAGUGUGUCUAGGGAGGUGACACCCCCCCUCCAAUAUCCAGUGAAAAGCCUGAAGGCCCAUCACACUCAGCUAAUGAUUUACCCUGUCCUUCUUUUCCCGUACUUUAAGGGACACAGUAGAUAAAGACUCCCUUUAUCUGUCUGAAUACCAGAUGACCCUUGGUCUAUACACUAGGCUCAUCAAAGCCUGAGAUUGCUGGGCAAGAGGUAAACUGGACUGGAGUUCCAUCUGCCCAGCCAACAUGCAGGUGAUACCCGUAAGAAAGAAGACAGUUAAGCUUGUGUGCUAUACAAUGCUAUUUCCCUCAACCCUCCUGCAUCCCUCCCCACCCAUCCCUCUUCUCAACAAUCUGUCAGUGGACCCAGGAGGGUUGGCAUCCCUAUCAGAGCAAUAGGUGGCAUGGAGCCCACGGCCGGCACUGGAAGUACGCCUGCUUCCUCUGGUGACUCACUGAAUUAAUUAGUCCCAGGCUGCAGUGGCUCUGGGUAGCAUUUUCCCCUCCAUUAUUCCUUCUAGCUAGCAAAGCAUAAACACCAUUAAUGUACAGUUGAAACAUUUACACAAAUUAGAGGCAGCAAUGUCACCUAAAAAGCCUUGUAUGAAAUGCUUCCUCUUUGCCAGGACAAGAAGUCACUUUGCAAGAUUUGCCACAGCAGGAUGUCAUAGGAGUGCAACCAGCUGACUUUGUUCAUAAAAUUUAGCAUAUACAUAACUCUCAAGGAAUAAGUGGAUUUCAUUGAGAAAGGAGUUGUACACUCUAGGAACUGUAAGAGUGGAAUGAACUAGCAGGACUUCCCAGUAAGAUAGGAAAAUAUUUGCAGGAGGCACAAAUACAGACAGGAGAAUCUGAAGCCAUCUGCUUGAUUUGAGUCCUGGCUCCAGAGGUUUCCGAUUGGUUGAUCCUGGGAAAGUCACUUAACAUCUCUGCACUUGUGUUUCCUCGUCUGCUAGACAGAAACCACACGGGUACCUGCCUCACAGAGUGAUUAUGAGUCUUAUGGGAAGUAGCCAGUUUCUUCCACAGAGUCACGUUCACAUUGAGUACAAACUGUUAUAAGUCCAGAAAUUCACUGCUUUGUCAUGAAAACCAACCAGAUUCUCCUGGUGACUGAUGCAUUUCCAAAACUUGGAAGUCUUUGUUGGGUUCCUCUGCCCAACCUAAGGCAAGAGACCCAGGCUCAGAAGGAGGCUUGGCUACAGGUGGGGGAAUGCCUUAGUAUUUCCUGCUCACUACAAGAGCGGAAGUUUGUUCAGGAAUUGGUCCCCCUCCUCAGUCAGCGUGUUAUCCUACAAAAGGUAGUUGGAAAUCCCUGUGGUGGCAUGUUCUUUUGAUUUACAGUGGGGACUUAAACCUUUGAGUCAAGAGUUGAGGUAAGCCAUCCAUCCCUUUAUGUCUUUUUCAUGACUCUGAAGUGUCACCUUGGCAUAAUGUUCUCUCAGGGCUGUGAUUAGAGGAAAGUGUGUUUAUAAAAAUGUUUUAAAAUAGACUGUCUGCAGCCUUGGUGAGAAGCCUCCAUUGAGCCCUCUCGGAGCCUGGAGUACAUCCCAAGCCACUGACAGUGACUAAGGUAUCAGACCCAGGUUCAUUAACCUUUAUCUAGAAAUGGACAGGGAAGGUGGCCAGGACACGUAAGUUGACCAAUGCACGUGAGUUUCCUGUCUGCUCGCCCAUAUUCCAUUACUCAGUGUUUUUAAAUGGCAGCUGUGGCUUUAUAGCACGGACAGCCACACUAUAAGAUAUAACACAGAUUUCAUAGAUAAAGCUACCUACCAUAGGUGACAUGGGGCAUGGAAGAGUUCUCUUGCUCUCACCUGCCUCUCUGCAACCAGAACACUUUUAAAAUGAGGAAGAAUGUUUCUGGGUCCCGACAUGUGUCUCUAAGCAGAGAGACUUUUUCUCCCUAACAAAUGCAUUCAUAAAACUCAUCAGAUUCUCCAUAGAGUUUCCUUUUGAGUUUUGAAGACAUGGUCUUUUGUUAUGGCCUCGGCUGGCUUUGAACUUCCAACAAUCUGCCCGCUUUGGUCUCCAAAGAGUUUGUUGUUAUGGUGGUGGUGUUUGUUUACUGGAUCUAAAUGGGCAAGAAUGAGUGGAGUAGAACCAGGGCUAACAGAAAAGCAUCUACGAUUCAAAUCCAUCCUGGCUUGCAUUCGUCUUCAUAUCAUUCACAGCUAUACAUGGUUUUACAUUAUGAAAGGGACAAGUGCCA
rnacentral:lncRNA from 1 species